UUGUAGUCAUAUGCUUGUCUCAAAGAUUAAGCCAUGCAUGUCUAAGUAUAAACAAAUUUGUACUGUGAAACUGCGAAUGGCUCAUUAAAUCAGUUAUAGUUUAUUUGAUGGUACAUUACUACAUGGAUAACUGUGGUAAUUCUAGAGCUAAUACAUGCGUUAAAAUCCCGACUUACGAAGGGAUGUAUUUAUUAGAUACAAAACCAAUUCGUGGCAACACGAUAUUGGUGAGUCAUAAUAACUUUUCGAAUCGCAUGGCCUUGAGCCGGCGAUGCAUCAUUCAAAUAUCUGCCCUAUCAACUUUGGAUGGUAGGAUAGAGGCCUACCAUGGUUUUAACGGGUAACGGGGAAUAAGGGUUCGAUUCCGGAGAGGGAGCCUGAGAAACGGCUACCACAUCCAAGGAAGGCAGCAGGCGCGCAACUUACCCAAUCCCGACACGGGGAGGUAGUGACAAUAAAUAACAAUACAGGGCUCUUUUGGGUCUUGUAAUUGGAAUGAGUACAAUUUAAAU
rnacentral:rRNA from 1 species